GUUCCUGUCUGUACAAAGGGGUCGCGCGAGAGGUGAUGAGGGGGUCUUUUGUUUCCAAGCGGACAGGUGACAGCUUUGUGGGAGGAAGUUCUGAUGCUCAUUUUCCCCUCUGUGAGUGUUCAUAAAAGUGCGAGCUGUGGUGAGCCGAGAUAAUACGCAUCAGACUCACAAGAGAAGAUGAGGUGUGCUUCUGUAACCCUUCUGCUGUGCCUGGCUACAGUGAUGCUUGCUCAAGUCUCCUGCCAAAUAAGUGGCCGGUCAAAUUGCCUUUGUCUCAAGACAUCAAAUCGGGUUCCCCGCAAGGAAAAUAUUGAAAGUUACAUGAUACAAACAGCAGGUGUCUGCCAUAUUGAUGCCAUUUUAUUCAAAACAGUCAAAGGUCGUUUUGUUUGCGCCGAUCCAAAAAACUCUUUGGCAAUAGAUGCCAGGCAAUAUGUGGACAACAAGAAAGUGGCACCUAAAAAAACAACGCGUCCAAUAAAAACUGCAUCAACAUCAACGCCGAACAACACAUCAGACUGGAAUACAACGAUAUAAACUAUGACUACUUUACCUGAACUUUGCUAAUUUGUUAACAUAUGUCUGUAAUUUUUGUGUUGAAUUGUAUUUUUACUUACAUCUAGUUAAUUAAAAAUUACUCCAUAAAAUAUAUUGCAAUGCAAGACUUUUGUUGUAUCAUUAGGAUAGUAUUAUGAUUUUUAUUCUGAUUUUAUAUUAGUUUAUUUUUUCUGUUUUCAUUUUAAUUGUAAUGUUUUUAAUUUAAUUAAAAUAUUACAGUCUAGUUUUCAUUAAUGUUUAUUUCAGUUUUGAUUUUGUUAUUUUAGCAUAUCAAGAUCAACUAAAUGUGACCCUGGACCACAUAACCAGUCAUAAGUAGCACGGGUAUAAUUGUAGCAAUAGCCAACAAUACAUUGUACUGGUCAAAAUUCUUGAUUUUUCCUUUAUGCCAAAAAUUAUUAGGAUGUUAAGUAAAGAUCAUGUUCCAUGAAGAUAUUUUGUACAUUUCCGACUGUAAAUAUAUUAAAACGUAAUUUGUAAUAUGCAUUGCCACGAACUUUGUGUGGACAACUUUAAAGGAGAUUUUUUUCAAUAUUUAGAUUUUUGUUGGCACUCUCAGAUUCCAGAUUUUCAAAUAGUUGUAUCUAGACCAAAUAUUAUCCUAUCAUAACAAACCAUACAUCAAUGAGCUUAAUUAUUUAGCGUUCAGAUGACGUGUAAAUCUCAGUUUUAAAAAAAAUUGACCCUUAUGAAUGGUUUUGUGGUCAAAUGAGAAGUGUUGCACUGGCUGACAAACAAAAAUUGUUUUAUGGUUUUAGUUUUAGUUCAUUAUAAUAAUCCUAAAGCUCAGUUGAGUGUUUUGUUAAGUGGUUAACUGCCACUAAAAAUGUAAGCAGCGACUUUGUUUCACUAGUGUUUUUACUGACAAUGACCUGGUAAAUCAAAUAAGUGAAUUAAUAAAUAAAC